rnacentral:rRNA from 1 species
GUAUAGGGGCUGACACCUGCCCAGUGCCGGAAGGUUAAAGGGAGAGGUUAGCGCAAGCGAAGCUUUGAACUGAAGCCCCGGUGAACGGCGGCCGUAACUAUAACGGUCCUAAGGUAGCGAAAUUCCUUGUCGGGUAAGUUCCGACCCGCACGAAUGGUGUAACAACUUGAGCAGUGUCUCAACGAAGGACCCGGCGAAAUUGAAAUGGCCGUAAAGAUGCGGCCUCCCCGCAGUAGGACAAAAAGACCCCGUGGAACUUUACUGCAGCUUGAUAUUGAGUUUGGAUAUUACUUGUGGAGCAUAGGUGGGAGGCUAUGAAGCCAGGGCGCUAGCCUUGGUGGAGCCAUCAGUGAAAUACCACCCUGGUAAUGUUUAGACCCUAACCCUCGACCGUUAUCCGGCGAGGGGACAGUGUCUGGUGGGCAGUUUGGCUGGGGCGGUCGCCUCCUAAAAGGUAACGGAGGCGCCCAAAGGUUCCCUCAGGCUGAAUGGAAACCAGCCGUUGAGUGUAAAGGCACAAGGGAGCUUGACUGUAAGACCAACGCGUCGAGCAGAGACGAAAGUCGGGCUUAGUGAUCCCACGCUUCUGUGUGGAAAGGGCGUGGCUCAUCGGAUAAAAGUUACCCCGGGGAUAACAGGCUAGUCAGGUCCAAGAGUCCAUAUCGACGACCUGGCUCGGCACCUCGAUGUCGGCUCAUCGCAUCCUGGGGCUGUAUCAGGUCCCAAGGGUCGGGCUGUUCGCCCGUUAAAGCGGUACGCGAGCUGGGUUCAGACCGUCGUGAGACAGGUCGGUCUCUAUCCACUGUGGGCGUAAGGGAUUUGAGGAGAGCUGCUCCUAGUACGAGAGGACCGGAGUGGACAGACCUCUAGUGUGCCAGUUGUCGUGCCAACGGCAUCGCUGGGUAGCUACGUCUGGCAGAGAUAACCGCUGAAAGCAUCUAAGCGGGAAACUCGCUCCAAGAUGAGAUCCCUUAUCCAGUAAAUGGAGUAAGAUCGCAGGAAGACCACCUGCUUGAUAGGCAGUAUGUGUAAGCGUAGCAAUGCGCUCAGCUAAACUGUACUAAUGAUCGAGGGCUUCACCAC